rnacentral:rRNA from 1 species
CACGUAGGGUGCGAGCGUUGUCCGGAAUUAUUGGGCGUAAAGAGCUCGUAGGCGGUGUGUCACGUCGGCCGUGAAAACCUGCAGCUUAACUGUGGGCGUGCGGUCGAUACGGGCAUCACUGGAGUUCGGCAGGGGAGACUGGAAUUCCUGGUGUAGCGGUGAAAUGCGCAGAUAUCAGGAGGAACACCGGUGGCGAAGGCGGGUCUCUGGGCCGGUACUGACGCUGAGACGCGAAAGCGUGGGGAGCGAACAGG